GUCUUUCCUACGCGAUGGACAUCCUCACACUGUGAACCAAAGCAGUCCCUCCAUUGAGUUGCUUUUCAGCAUUUUUGUUCGGGUUUUGCAAUUCUGAAAAUCCAUCCCAGCCAAACAUUGAGUCAUGCCCCCAGUCCUUCAGUGGCCUUAUGUCACGGCAGUGAAAAGUGUCUGUCUCCAGAUGGCUCGUUAGACCCAAGGAGCAAUUCUCUUUCACUUAUAAUAUCUGCAAGUAUUUGAAUUGAUACUGAUAUCUUCAGAUUUUGUUGAAAGCUGUUGUGCAGGUCCCAGCUAUUCCAUGUCUUCAUGGCAGAUGAGAAGUGCAUGGCUGUCUGUAAGCAGAGUGUAAAAGAUGGAACAGAUUGUUUUCUUAGGUGCACACAGGCUGACACUGAAGAUGCACACGUGCCAUUGAAAUAAACCAAGAGUAUUGUGUGGCUUCCAGAGCCCUGCCUGUACCUGCACCUUUUCCUCUUCCACUCAAGAACUCAUGUUAGCAGAUCACAAGUUCUGUAGUGUUGAGACCUCUUCAGCUGUUGUCAGAGGCUGUUCUGUCACAUAGGAAGCAGAAUUGAGGGUUACAGACAACAUCAGCAAACUCUGGCUAGAAUUUGUUGGAUGAACAGUCAGAGCCUGAAAUUCAGGAGUUGGAGUGGCAAGCAGGUUGAUGCUACAGACUGGAUCUCCAGGGACAUCAGAAGCGCAGUGUUAUGGACCUUUCCUUUGUAGUGCUGAUGCCUUUAUUUGUUGUCUUUAGUGACCUGCCAUCGGUUUUCAGGAAGACUGGGCUGUGCCUACAGCACAAACACUGAUACCAUCACUUCUCUGUAUCGGGGCACUUCACAGGGCAAAGGGAAUGCUGGGAGAGCAAUACGUUUUUAAAGUUUUUUUUAAUUGAUAUACUUUAUUUGAAAUGUUAUAUAGUAUUGAAAACUAAUUGUAGAGACAACAGAUGUUAUUAAUUUAUAUAACUGUUUACCAUAAAAGAGAGACAUGAAAAGUAUUUAUGUUCUGGGCUGGAGGUGUGCAUCAGUGGUGGAAUGCGUGGCUAGUGUGUAUGAGGCCCUGGGUUCAAUCGCAAGGAAACCUCCUCCCCUUAAAAAAAAAGCAGAAGAUAGUUACAUGAUAAUAUUUCAGAACUUCACUGAAAGGUUUUAAAGGCUCAAUGGAGGCACAAUUGACAUAUAUAAUGAAGCCCGUAUAUUUGAAGGACAUAGUUUGGUAUAUUUUGGCACAUGUGGUGCACACCUGAAACACUGCCACCAUGAUGGAGACAAUGAAUGUAUCUCACCCCUUGAUGCCUUAUGCCUUUGCCUGUAUCUCACCCCUGUGUGUCUCCUUGUGCCUUUGCCUUUGUGUUCCUUCCCUCAGCCUUGCCAUCCCUAAGCACCUGCCAUUUACGUCCCUCAGAUCAUCUUGCAUUCUUCAGAGUAUCAUAUACAUGGGAUCAUACAAUAAAUAGCUCUCCGUGUGGCUUUUCUACUCAGCACAACUACUUGGAGACUCACCAAGGCUGCAGUGCAUAGCAUUGCUUUGUUGCUUUUUAUGAAUGACUUGUACUGAAUCGAAUAUAUAGCUUGCUUAUCUAUUUACUAGUUGACAGGCAAUUUACUUAUUUCUAUUUGGGGAUGUUGCCAUAAAAAAUGUUAUGAGAA
rnacentral:lncRNA from 1 species